rnacentral:rRNA from 1 species
GACGAACGCUGGCGGCGUGCUUAACACAUGCAAGUCGAACGCUGAAGCUCAGCUUGCUGGGUGGAUGAGUGGCGAACGGGUGAGUAACACGUGAGUAACCUGCCCUCUUCUUUGGGAUAACGCCCGGAAACGGGUGCUAAUACUUGAUAUUCACUGAUUCUCGCAUGGGGGUUGGUGGAAAGGUGUUUGCUGGUGGGGGAUUGGUUCGCGGCCUAUCAGCUUGUUGGUGGGGUGAUGGACUACCAAGGCUUUGACGGGUAGCCGGCGUGAGAGGGUGACCGGUCAACUUGGGACUGGGCUACGGCCCAGAGUCCUACGGCAGGCAGCAGUCGGGCAUAUUGCGCGAUGGGCGAAAGCAUGAUGCCGCGGCGCCGCGUGAGGGAUGGAGGACUUCGGGUUGUAGUCAUCUUUCGAUAAUGGUCGUGCCGCAGCUUGGGGUUGUGGUGAGGGUAGUGGGUAAAAAAGCGCCGGCUAACUACGUG